UCAUCGUUCAGUUUCACAAAAGUAGGAAUAAAAAACUUCAAUACAGAACAAAAAAGAGCUGCCAAUUUCAACUGAAUUUACUCCGUGCUCACAGAAUGUAUAUAAUGGGCGAAGCGCGAUGGUAGACAAUGUGGGUGAGGGGAGAAAGCUGAACAAAACAGAGCUUACUCUCCGGGUCUCCCAAUCCAGCCAGGAGAACACAUACAUACAAUGGCUUUAAUAGUUUGGGGAGAGUUACAUUUGAAAUAUAAAUAAAGCUUAAUGGGUGAUCCAUUGAGCAAAGGGUGACUGAUCUUAUUGGAAGAACUUCAGGGAAAUGGUGAUCCUUUAUCUGUUUUUUCAAAGAUAAAGAGAACCUUACCAGGUGGGGAAAGGGUGCUCUGAUCUGAAGACACCGUGUGAACAAAGUUACGGAGGCAUGAAGGUGCACAUGGAACCCUUCUAAGAGCCCAGAGUAGAGAUCACCAACUCAGACGCCUGCAGGGUCAUGCAGGUCACUCAAAUGUGUGAGGACUCAGAUAAUCUGCAGACUCUGACAUUUGUGUGAGAACUGCUAAACUAGCUGAGAUUGGUUAAAAUUCAUCUAGCACGAAGACAAGAGGGAUACUUCUUAGAAGAAUUUAUAGGAAUCAAUCUCCAUUUCCACAACUACGUUUUGACAAGACAAAGGCUGAAAAUAUUUGGUGGCACUGAAUUUCCCCAGGGUCACCUCUACAUCCGCCAACUGAGGGCAGGACUCCUGAUCCUUCUCAUUUCUGCAGAAGAGCCACACACAGCAUUUCAGUCUGGUCUGGUCCCUUGAUAGGGAACUGACUUGCCACGGUCACCCUGCUCGCUGUCACACGGUGUCCGGCUUGCAACCCCUACAGCAUCCGCCUGCCUGCUGGACUUCCACCUAUUUCCGUGGCUCAGUUCAAUCAGCAUUCAUCCAGCGCCACAUAAAUACCAUGGAUGUUAGAGGUACAGAGACAAAUGAGGGGGUAUCUGUGCCCUCAGUGUUUCUAAUCUAGUCAGAUUCAGGCACGCAGAAAAAUUACAGGGAACUCCACAUCUUCUUAACCUAAAGGUUUUGUUGUUGUUUGUUUUUAGUAAUGUUUUGCGAGGACUGCUGGAAGAAAUUGCCCCCAGCGUGGGGGACGAUUGAUCCUUUCUAGUCUCCACUAGUUUCUGGUGGCUGCAGGCUUCCGUGGCUUGUGACAGCACCACUCUAGUCUCUGCCUCUGUCUUUAUGUGGCCGUCUCCUUUGUGUCUGGGUCUUUUCCUCUUCUGUGUCAAAUCUUCCUUUGCAUUUGUCUUAUGUAAGGAUGUCGUUGGGUCUACUUAGGGCCCUUCCAGGUGAUCUGGGAGGAUCUUGAGAUCCUCAGGUUGAUUACAUCUGCAACACCCUUUAAAAAAUGAUGUCAUAGGGGUGCCUGGAUAGCUUUGUCAGUUAAGCAUCCGACUUUUGAUUUC